rnacentral:rRNA from 1 species
UACAGAGGGGGCAAGCGUUGUUCGGAAUUACUGGGCGUAAAGGGCGCGUAGGCGGCCUGUUAAGUCGAACGUGAAAUCCCCGGGCUCAACCCGGGAACUGCGUCCGAUACUGGCAGGCUUGAAUCCGGGAGAGGGAUGCGGAAUUCCAGGUGUAGCGGUGAAAUGCGUAGAUAUCUGGAGGAACACCGGUGGCGAAGGCGGCAUCCUGGACCGGCAUUGACACUGAGGCACGAAAGCGUGGGGAGCAAACAGG